AGAAUAAACAGCAGGGGAGAAAACAUGAACACGAAGGUGGUUUUACAGGGCCGGUUCUGUCCGUUGCGCUCCAGAUGUGCUGACCCCUGGCACUUCCCCCAGGGUGGGAAAGUAGUGACGUGGGGGGGGGGUUCCCGCUCUCCCCUA
rnacentral:snRNA from 1 species